GUUCAUGGAUAUCAAGUCCGCAGCGAAGGCUCAUGCGACUGAGCAUACGCUGGACGAGCGAGCCCUUACCACACAGUACUACGAGCCACAACAUCUUCAACACAGGUUUCCCUCUCAUGGUACCGAUUCAAUAUUCACUCAACUUUUCGAAACGAAACUUCAUAGCGUGAAUAACAAGGAUGCAACAGACACCGUGGUGUCAUAUCUCAACAGGAAGAGAUAUUGAAGAAAAAGAAGAUAUACACCACAUGCGCUAGUGACAUAACGUAACACAACUCCUUCAAUCAUUUUUUGUUACAGAGAUAAAAAUCAGAUUCCUCUAUCGAUGUGAUAAAUCAUGAAAUUAGUGCAUUAAAUUAGUUUCCGAUAAUACAGAUAAACAUAGCAAUGACAUUUACCAUGCGGAAAUAGUUGAGAAAACGCUUCAAUUUUAUCUAUUCUUUUUCUUUUGUUAUCUUAUUAAUUAUAUUUAGAGCAGAAAGAGAUGGACUUUGAAAUACGGAUCCCAGACAACUGCAAUUUUAAAUGUUACGUUAUCUUGUGCAUAAUGUUCAUUCGUUUUUAUUGCAAAUUUUAACUGUAAUAUAGCAAUGUAGUAGUGAGAAUUAAUUUCGAUGAAUUAUGCAGCCGCAUUCAUUCGGUCGAUAUGGAAAUGUUCUCAAUCAUGCCUUUUCCUCCAAAUUAAUCUUGUUCAAGAAUAGAAAGAUAUUCUGGGGCUCGAAGCAGCACGUACAAGUGCCGGUUUACGAUGAGUCACGUCCUAGGAAUUAAUUAAAUCGCACGUCACAGGAAGCAGGUACAAAAGGACGACAUUGAAACAUCGUUAUGGACGAACGGUCAUUCUAUUAUCUCUUCAAUAAAAUUCAUAUGUGGUCUACGAAUUAUUGAAUUACGUAAAUCUCUGAGUUAUUUUUUUCCCGACUUUCUGUUUAAUCGAGACUCUAUCAUUAGAUUCACAUAUUUUUGGCGUUUUAAUUUUUAUGAUUUUAUUUUAUACUAUUAAAUUCACGAUCUAUAAUUUGCGGCAGAAUUCUAUUUAUAAUUUUAUAUAAAAUUUUAUAUUAUAGAAUAUUUGCUUGUUUUUUUCUUUGGUGGUUGGAUUAAAAAAAUGACAUUAAGAAAAAUGUAUAUAAAUAUAAGGUAAAUGGGGGGAACAUAUCACACGUCUUUCUUCUAGAAUAACCUUAACAUGUUAUGAAAUUGAACGAUGAAAAAUUAAUAUUCUUGACACCUUAAUUUGUUCAUAUAAAUAAAGUAAUAAAAAUUUUGACAUUCAAGAUUUUUGAGAAAAAAAAUUAGCUAAGUCCUGCUAGCACCUUCCUCGACAUAUAUGAGUAAGAUGCUACGUCUUAUGAAGGAAGAGAGAGAGAGAGAGAGAGAGAGAUGUUAUAACUAUUUAAAUAGUGUGAUUUAAAUAGUAUGUACGUAAUAGAAACUUGCAUGUUUUGCUUAUCUACAAUGAACAAGUUUCAAUUAUAAAAACACAAUAAUGAGUGAUAAAAUGUAAAUGGACAAUUCGGAGAGCAAUUUCUUAUACUUUCAUACUUUGAAGAGUUUAAAUAACAUUUCACAAAUUUAAAAUGUUUAGACUUAUAUAUAAAGUAUUUUAAAUUAUCAAAAUUUAAUUUUUUAAAUCAUUUUAAUGAAAGUGUCAAGCUCGAAUACUUGUGUUUUGUAUAAACACAUAUAACAAUUUCAAAAAAUAUUAUCUAUACUAAUCACGUCAAGAAACAUGACUGUGGUUACACAGUUAUCUGAUUUGAAAGUAAGCAUCGAAUCACAGAGCUUAGCUAUUAUGUUAUUAAAUAUUAUAAAGAUUGUAUUUUACGACUUAUUUUUUUGUAUUCUUACAAAUACCGAUUCUUAUUAGUAUCGGAAUUAUCUUUCAUAGCUAUGUAGCUUCCCAACAGUUUUGUGCAUACUUAUGCACGAUCAUAUUAAUUUUUAAUUUAUGGAAAAACUAUAAUCAAAUUGGCAUCUUUCCCCGAUUUACCUUAAUAAAAGUAUUUCAUGAAGGAUUCUUUACUAAUAAUAACAUUACUUUCAAUAAUAUUCUCAAUUACAAUAUUAGAGCAAGCUCAUAAGAAAUAAACUCCGUAAAAGAAAUAUUUGAUGUAAGUUACGGCAUAUUAGAAGAAAGCAUACUAUAAUACAUAACGAACUUUUAGUCGAAGAUCCAAUAGCAUAUCAAAAUUGUUUAAAUAAAAACCAAUUUAAAGAUUUACUUAAGUAACAUUUUACUUUGGAAAAAAACCUUUUCUUAAUACAUCAACACGAGCAUGUUUAUUUUUGUAAUUGAUAAAUUUUACUGUAAGUAAGGAUUCUUCUUGUAUUCAGUUAAUUAACAAGUAACUCCUGGGACUAAGACAUUGUAAGUUAAGUUGUAGAUUGUCAUUUAUAAUUCACGGGUACAUUUAUACACUACUUAUAUUCCAUCUGUCUUAUUUGUUCACCUAUUUUUUUUGUAUAAAAUUAUAAAUACAUAGAAUUCUGUCGCAAAUUAUAGAUCGUAUAAAGUGGACUUUAAUGUAUAAUUUCCGAGUAAGUACAGUGAGAAUCAACCUAUUCCAGCAAACCAGAUGACAUCAAAUGACAUCUUAAUAAAGUCUUAACGACGUCUCUAACGUCAAUAGAAAGACAUCAUUGAAACGUCAUUUGACAUCACCUUAUUUGCUAAGAUCUGAAAUUCAUUAAAGAUACUGGGAGUAGCAAAAUUAUGUCAUUCAGCUAUUUUCCAUUUUAUUCCUCUUUUCGCGAAUCAAACUAUUUUGUCACGCGAUUCAAAGAAUUAACCAUAUUGUCAUAAUGAAUAUUCAAUGCCACGUAGUGCUAUUGCUGCGUCGACUUUAGUAAACACGUAUGAGAACACGCAUACAUAUCUUUUCCGAUACAAAUAAUCCGAUUGUAACGUUGAGCGUUAUGCAUAACAGCACGUUAUCGAUAUUAGCUUCGUGACGUGCCGAUCGUUAUCCGCAUAUCGUUAAUAUCUUGGGCUUUUAACAUAGUAGACACACAACGCACAUGCACCUCUCCCCUCAGUUAAUAUUAGAGCAGUCACAACAAAGCGAAAUCGACCGCUCAACAACACAGUUUCAAAUGUAUUCGGCGAUAUGACGCCUCAUGAUAAAUGGCAGAUAAAUAUAUGCAAUGUGCGAUAACUUCACACAGUGCUAGAGUUGGUGGCCAAAGUCAUAUAUAUCAAAUUUGAUUAGACUGCAGUAGUGCUCACGGGUGCACAUUAAAGCUGUUUUACGUACUGACUAAUCUAAAAGUGUAAAAGUGUGAAAUGCAAAAAAAUAUAUAUAUUGAAUGACAAAAUAUAUAUUUAUCAAACAGCACACAAAGUAUAUUGAAGAUUUCGCGGAUAAUCCGUUCAUUAUACACUCACAGAAAAGAUUUCUGAUUCCAAUCCUAUUACUCUUCUAUUCCUUCUCUCAUAAAAAGGCCGUGUAAACGAUUUUAUUGUUGACGGUUUUCCGCGAUACUGAUUUGUUUUUUCGUUUGGUUUACUUCGUGUUACGAGAGUGGCUGUCUUGGCGUUGAUUGAAUUUUGACAGCUGUUACAUUGACAGUUGUGAAAAUGAAAUUACAUAAUAUCAAAAGUUCUGUAGCGUGCGUCAACAAGUGCACUAGUAUAAUAAAAUAAAAUUCAUGUAGAAACACAAUUAUUGCUGGAAGACAAAUUUUGUAUUCUGAAAUGGAAAAGUUCUUAAAUCAAGAAUAAAAUAAUCUUUGUGUUGUUCCAUAAAUUAAUUCUCUCAAAUUUAGAGUAAACAAUGGAAAUUUGUGACAAUCUCAUAUUUUUGAUUUAACAAUAAAAUAGUCUAAUCUGAAAAAAAUUUGAAGAAUUUUUUUCUACUAAAAUAUCACAAAGGCCCCCCACAAAGGAGCUCGUUUUGUAGAUACCAAAAAUAUCUCUCAUACUAAUACAAAAGUU